CUAAGCUGAGGCCGACAGGCGUAGGCGAUGGAUAACAGGUUGAUAUUCCUGUACCACCUAUAAUCGUUUUAAUCGAUGGGGGGACGCAGUAGGAUAGGCGAAGCGUGCGAUUGGAUUGCACGUCUAAGCAGUAAGGCUGAGUAUUAGGCAAAUCCGGUACUCGUUAAGGCUGAGCUGUGAUGGGGAGAAGACAUUGUGUCUUCGAGUCGUUGAUUUCACACUGCCGAGAAAAGCCUCUAGAUAGAAAAUAGGUGCCCGUACCGCAAACCGACACAGGUAGUCAAGAUGAGAAUUCUAAGGUGAGCGAGCGAACUCUCGUUAAGGAACUCGGCAAAAUGACCCCGUAACUUCGGGAGAAGGGGUGCUCUUUAGGGUUAACGCCCAGAAGAGCCGCAGUGAAUAGGCCCAAGCGACUGUUUAUCAAAAACACAGGUCUCUGCUAAACCGUAAGGUGAUGUAUAGGGGCUGACGCCUGCCCGGUGCUGGAAGGUUAAGAGGAGUGGUUAGCUUCUGCGAAGCUACGAAUCGAAGCCCCAGUAAACGGCGGCCGUAACUAUAACGGUCCUAAGGUAGCGAAAUUCCUUGUCGGGUAAGUUCCGACCCGCACGAAAGGCGUAACGAUUUGGGCACUGUCUCAACGAGAGACUCGGUGAAAUCAUAGUACCUGUGAAGAUGCAGGUUACCCGCGACAGGACGGAAAGACCCCGUGGAGCUUUACUGUAGCCUGAUAUUGAAAUUCGGCACAGCUUGUACAGGAUAGGUAGGAGCCUUUGAAACGUGAGCGCUAGCUUACGUGGAGGCGCUGGUGGGAUACUACCCUAGCUGUGUUGGCUUUCUAACCCGCACCACUUAUCGUGGUGGGAGACAGUGUCAGGCGGGCAGUUUGACUGGGGCGGUCGCCUCCUAAAAGGUAACGGAGGCGCUCAAAGGUUCCCUCAGAAUGGUUGGAAAUCAUUCAUAGAGUGUAAAGGCAUAAGGGAGCUUGACUGCGAGACCUACAAGUCGAGCAGGGUCGAAAGACGGACUUAGUGAUCCGGUGGUUCCGCAUGGAAGGGCCAUCGCUCAACGGAUAAAAGCUACCCCGGGGAUAACAGGCUUAUCUCCCCCAAGAGUUCACAUCGACGGGGAGGUUUGGCACCUCGAUGUCGGCUCAUCGCAUCCUGGGGCUGUAGUCGGUCCCAAGGGUUGGGCUGUUCGCCCAUUAAAGCGGUACGCGAGCUGGGUUCAGAACGUCGUGAGACAGUUCGGUCCCUAUCCGUCGUGGGCGUAGGAAAUUUGAGAGGAGCUGUCCUUAGUACGAGAGGACCGGGAUGGACAUACCUCUGGUGUACCAGUUGUCGUGCCAACGGCAUAGCUGGGUAGCUAUGUGUGGACGGGAUAAGUGCUGAAAGCAUCUAAGCAUGAAGCCCCCCUCAAGAUGAGAUUUCCCAACUUCGGUUAUAAGAUCCCUCAAAGAUGAUGAGGUUAAUAGGUUCGAGGUGGAAGCAUGGUGACAUGUGGAGCUGACGAAUACUAAUCGAUCGAAGACUUAAUC
rnacentral:rRNA from 1 species